rnacentral:rRNA from 1 species
GUGCCAGCCGCCGCGGUAAGACAGAGGGUGCAAACGUUGUUCGGAAUUACUGGGCGUAAAGCGCGUGUAGGUGGCCAGGCAAGUCGGGUGUGAAAGCCCCGGGCUCAACCCGGGAAGUGCACUCGAAACUGCUUGGCUCGAGUGCCGGAGAGGGAAGCGGAAUUCUCGGUGUAGAGGUGAAAUUCGUAGAUAUCGAGAGGAACACCAGUGGCGAAGGCGGCUUCCUGGACGGCUACUGACGCUGAGACGCGAAAGCGUGGGGAGCAAACAGGAUUAGAUACCCCUGUAGUCC